rnacentral:rRNA from 1 species
AUUGAACGCUGGCGGCAUGCUUUACACAUGCAAGUCGAACGGCAGCACGGGGGCAACCCUGGUGGCGAGUGGCGAACGGGUGAGUAAUGCAUCGGAACGUACCCAGUCGUGGGGGACAACGUAGCGAAAGUUACGCUAAUACCGCAUACGACCUGAGGGUGAAAGCAGGGGAUCGCAAGACCUUGCGUGAUUGGAGCGGCCGAUGUCAGAUUAGCUAGUUGGUGGGGUAAAGGCCCACCAAGGCGACGAUCUGUAGCGGGUCUGAGAGGAUGAUCCGCCACACUGGGACUGAGACACGGCCCAGACUCCUACGGGAGGCAGCAGUGGGGAAUUUUGGACAAUGGGGGCAACCCUGAUCCAGCCAUGCCGCGUGCGGGAAGAAGGCCUUCGGGUUGUAAACCGCUUUCGGACAGAAAGAAAUCGCAUGGGCUAAUACCCUGUGUGGAUGACGGUACUGUAAGAAGAAGCACCGGCUAACUACGUGCCAGCAGCCGCCCGUAACAC